GACGAACGCUGGCGGCGUGCUUAACACAUGCAAGUCGAACGGAAAGGCCCUGCUUUUGUGGGGUGCUCGAGUGGCGAACGGGUGAGUAACACGUGAGUAACCUGCCCUUGACUUUGGGAUAACUUCAGGAAACUGGGGCUAAUACCGGAUAGGAGCUCCUGCUGCAUGGUGGGGGUUGGAAAGUUUCGGCGGUUGGGGAUGGACUCGCGGCUUAUCAGCUGGUUGGUGGGGUAGUGGCUUACCAAGGCUUUGACGGGUAGCCGGCCUGAGAGGGUGACCGGCCACAUUGGGACUGAGAUCCGGCCCAGACUCCUCCGGGAGGCAGCAGUGGGGAAUAUUGCACAAUGGGCGGAAGCCUGUUGCAGCAACGCCGCGUGCGGGAUGACGGCCUUCGGGUUGUAACCCGCUUUCGCAUGUGACGAAGCGUGAGUGACGGUAAUGGGUAAAGAAGCACCGGCUAACUACGUG
rnacentral:rRNA from 1 species